rnacentral:ncRNA from 1 species
CCCAAACCUGAGUGAUUAAUCCAUGACUAGGAUGAAGCCUAGGUGAAACUAAGUGGUGGCCCAAACCGAUUGAUGUUGAAGAAUUAGCGAAUGAGUUAUGGUUAGGGGUGAAAUGCCACUCGAACCUAGAGCUAGCUAG